rnacentral:rRNA from 1 species
UACGUAGGGGCAAGCGUUGUCCGGAUUUAUUGGGCGUAAAGAGCGUGUAGGCGGCUUGGCAAGUCCGCUGUGAAAACUCGAGGCUUAACCUCGAGACGUCGGUGGAAACUGCCUGGCUAGAGUCCGGAAGAGGAGAGUGGAAUUCCUGGUGUAGCGGUGAAAUGCGCAGAUAUCAGGAAGAACACCCGUGGCUAAGGCGGCUCUCUAGUACGGUACUGACGCUGAGACGCGAAAGCGUGGUGAGCGAACAGG